rnacentral:lncRNA from 1 species
GAACAAGUACACACAUCAAAACUAGAAAGACUGUAAUUUUUGCUUUCUACGUCUACUAUCUGAUUUUUUAUCUGAGCCAGAGGAAGAAGCACCAAUAAAAGGGAAAAAGGGAGGAUUGAUAAGCCAGCCCUUCUAUCCAAAAUCCUUUGACAACCUCCUCUCAAAAAAAAAAAAAUCUUUGACAACCCUUUAGUUCAAGAAAGCAAUCAAAAGUAGUGUUGGUGGCCUGGUAGCGCAAAAUCCAUCCAUCAAGCAAGCCACCGCCCUGCUCUCCAGCUUGCGGCGUCCACCGGACAAGGAGCUGCCGGCGUCGCGUCCUUGUGCUCCAUCGGCGUCGCCGCUCCCGUCCGCUCGUUUUGCAUCUGCAUCUACGGAGGGAGGGGAAGAAAUGAAAACGUAGGGAAGCGAAGAGAUGGUGAAGGGGAAGGUAUUUUGGGUGUGGCUGGGCUGGAAUUUUGCGCGCCAUCUUCGCAUGAGCCACAUGCGGAUCCGGGGAACCAUCG